CCGACUUCCUACGUGCAUGCCAAAAGCAGUUCUGGGAAAAAAAGAACAAACUAGUGUAGAAUGGGAAAGAAUUGUGUCUCUGCCUGCAAAGAAUUGUGUCUCUGUUCUUCUCCAUUGGCUCAAUCUUCGACAAAGCUGAACAUUGUGUAGAAUCAAACCUCGGCUGCCGGUGGCUUGUCUUCUCCACCUCUCCGACGAAAACGCAAACUUGGUAAGAAAGUUCUUUUUUUAAUAUGUGAUUUUGAAUCUCUGACAUUUGAUAUUCGCCUCCUUUCCUUCUUCUCAUUCUUGCUGAAAAAUGCAAGCCUUUAUUGUGGUAACUGCUACUGGUAAGCUAAGGUUUUAGAAUUUCCCUUGGUAUUUGAGAUUAUCUUCUUCUCAACACUGGUAAAAAAAUUUUCUUCUUCUUAGAAUUGAUAAAAUAUUGUUUGGGUGUUUUGCAUUUCAGGGAAAUUUUUGCCUCUGUUGUGCCGUGACCUAGUUUUGUUAGCAUUGUCACUUUUGAUUUUCUUUUUUGAAUAUGCGUUGUGUUGGGUAGUAAAGGUAGAGAGACUUGUGUUGUCAGCGUCUUUUUGUGUUUCGGGGCGCCUCUGAUUUGUUUCAUUACCUAUUGUGGAUGUAUUUUUUCCUUCGUUUGAGUUUAACUGACUUUUUAAAGUUAGAUGUUUCUCUUCUUCUGUCAUUUUGAUCUUUUGCUUAUUGUGUUGUGGAAGUAUUUCUUUGAUUGUGUUGGACAGUUUGUCUGAAUGUGUACUCCUUAUGGCCUUCCUUUCAUUUCUAUUUUAUGGCUUACUUUCUUGCAACACGUCUUACUGUUGUUGGAAAAUGUAUUUUCUAUGUCUUCUGGACUCUAGAGCAUCAUAACUAAGGAUGACUCACAAACUCAACUCUUCCAAGGACAUAAAUGACUCGUGAGAAACAUGGAAAAUAGUUGUCAAAAUUGUUAAUACUUGGAGUAGGGAGAAUACAUCAAGGCCAAUACCGGACAUGAUUUUUAUGGAUAAAGAUUUGGUGGCAAACAACAUCAACAUGGAGGGGUGGCAAGCACGAAUUGGGAGAAUGGUAGGAAACACAUAUUAUAUCUUGGAAGCUGCCCUGGUUACUCUUUUUCCCAGUUAUGUUAUUAAAUUUUCUUUUACUAGCCAACAUUGUAUUUUCCUCUAACAUGUUUGUUCAAUAAAUAUAAUGCAUUGUUGUUUUUCCAUUUCAAUAACAUGUAAACUCUCUAUGCUUAUUUACAAUGGAUACAGUCAUUUGAUCUUUUGGUUUGAAGAGGUCAGUCUAUUUUUGCUUCAAUACACACCCUUCUAUAUUUUGGAAGAUUAUGAUUACAUGAGAUAUUGUUGAGAUUUGUCAAAGCAAAGUUCUUCGGGUGGUUAGGUAGUGAUCCUUUAAGGCAUCUGUGUUACUACAUCAGUGUGUGCCUGAGUAAGAGAGAUAGAGUGUGUGGUUGUUUGUGUGAAGUUUGAAGAUUAAGCUGCAAUUGUUUGGCCUUCUCAAUUACUUAAAAGGAUGGUUGGUCCCUAUUUCAUUAAUUAUUAUUUUCAGGUUGUUGCUUUGAUAUGAUUUCUUACUUUUGGAAAGAAAAGUAGCAUUUUUUUAAUAUAUUUUUUUUAUAGCUCAUUAGAAUAGCAAAUAGAAUGUACUAGCAAGAGUGUGUCGUAGUUUGAUUCAUCUUGUUAUUGGUAUUCCAGGUUUCACACUAGGUUACUUUGUUUCUUUUGGAAAAAUGUGAACAAUAGGUUGAUGAAUUUAGUCCUCUAAAUUGUUCUUGCUUAAGCGAUUUUUGAGUUAGUGCUUGAACUCAAGACAGUGUUUGAAUAAUGAGAAAGUCUAUGAUCUUCAUAUUUGUAUUGGGUGUUCUGUUAGAAGUCUGCCAAUAAUUUUGUACGAUGCGAGUUGAAGUGUCUAGAAGAGGGAUGACAGAUUGUAAGAGGUCUUAUAUUCAAGUAUUUGGUGUGCGAGUUAUGUGGAAGGAAGAUAUAUAUGUUUUGAAAUGGAUACUAAUCACAACAAAUCAAAGCAGCUGACAUUGUUCAGAUUGCGUCAAGAGUUCAAAACAUAUGCCAAGGUUGUUAGCACAAUAAUAAUGUGUGGCAAUAAUUUGGUCUUGGUGGUUCGGUCAGCGUGGUUGUAAUUGCUUUGUAAACAUAGCUAGGUUUGGUGUAGUCUCCAAUUAAUUGUGGUUUAUUCAUGUAGGGGAUAGGGUGAACAUUUACUUGCGGGUGUUGGCAGCAUACUAUGCUUGCAAUUUCUCUGUAAUAUCGAAUUACACUAUAUCACUUGCGGUUGUGGAAAGGAAACUUCUUUCAAUUUUCAAAAGGCAUAA